rnacentral:misc_RNA from 1 species
AUUUUGAGCACAACUAGUAUGAUAACACUUUCAUAAUCAAUUUUUUUAGUAGCUAUAAUUCACUCCACUUUCUGAAGGUAGAAGUUGCACAAUGUAGAGGAUGAGAAUGCAAAAGGUAGGAAUUAUACAAAUACAUGUCUCACUGUAGCAUAUUCAUCAUCAAUUCCAUAGUAUUAGGAGGGAAAUACAAUAUUAACUAUCUUAUUUGAAUGAUGUAAUUCGCAAUUGAACCACAAGGCAAAAUGGAGAUAAAUAGCUAUUAGCUAUUGCAGCUACAUUCCCUUUUUGUUUUGUUUUUAUGUAUGCUUG